rnacentral:rRNA from 1 species
UACGUAGGUGGCAAGCGUUAUCCGGAAUCAUUGGGCGUAAAGAGCGUGUAGGCGGCCAGGUAGGUCUGCUGUGAAAACUCGAGGCUCAACCUCGAGACGUCGGCGGAAACCAUCUGGCUAGAGUCCGGAAGAGGAGAGUGGAAUUCCUGGUGUAGCGGUGAAAUGCGCAGAUAUCAGGAGGAACACCAAUGGCGAAGGCAGCUCUCUGGUACAUGACUGACACUGAGACGCGAAAGCGUGGGGAGCGAACAGG